GUGCGUGGGGGAGCGCGCGUUGGCGCGCGCGCCUGUCCACGGCCAUGUCGCUCGUGCUGCUGCAGCUCGGCCAGUGCGGGAACCAGGUGGGCCCGGAGCUGCUGGACGUGGUCAGCGGCGAUGGCCGGAGUGAGCGGGGCCGGAGCGACAGUUACCGAGCCGCUUCCCAGGAGAGAUUCUUCCGGCAGGAGGAGGCCGGAGGCGAUGCAUUGCCAGUAGCUCGGGCCAUCCUAGUCGACAUGGAGCCAAAAGUCAUCAGUCGUACUUUAUCCAAAGCCACAAAAUCAGGACGGUGGAGAUACGGAAACCAAUCCUACUUUUGUCAGAAACAAGGAUCCGGAAACAACUGGGCAAAUGGGUUCUGUGUUCAUGGCCCUCGGCAUGAAGAAGCUGUGAUGGACUUGGUACGACGGGAGGUUGAAAAGUGUGAGCGACUAAGUGGCUUUUUUGCAAUGAUGAGCGUGGCUGGAGGUACCGGCUCUGGCUUGGGAACCUAUGUCACUCGAUGUUUGAGGGAUACGUACCCAAACGCAUUUAUAUUGAACCAGCUCACCUGGCCUUAUGGAACCGGAGAGGUUAUUGUGCAGAAUUAUAAUGCAGUGCUGACGCUGUCUCACUUGUAUCAGUCUUCUGAUGCACUUCUGAUUCAUGAGAAUGACACAGUUCACAAGAUUUGCUCCCAGCUGAUGAACAUAAAGCAGAUUUCCUUCACAGACAUCAAUAAAGUCAUUGCUCACCAGCUCGGGAGUGUCUUACAGCCAGCAUACACCAGAUGGAAUGGUUCACAAUAUGGCACAAAUCCUCUUGGUGAUCUGCUGGAGAGUUUGGUGACACAUCCAGAGUAUAAACUGCUAAGUCUGAUGAACAUCCCACAAAUGUCUGACACGUCUCUGCAAUUCAGCACAUUUACCUGGCCAGCUCUUAUGAAGCAUCUGAGACAAAUGUUGAUUGCCAACACUAAAAUGGAAGCAGGUAUUGACUGGCGAGUGAAGCUGCCCCCAGCAGGACUCCCUGCAGCUGUAAAACCUUCCUCAAACAGGGAGCUGCACUCCAAUACCUCUGUGGCUAAUCUGCUGGUAUUGCGAGGGAAGGAGGUAUCGAAAGCUGACACAGGUGGUUUUAAAGAGCAGGCACUGUACACCUCCUGGAUGCCUGCUGAUUCUGCCCUCAACAUAUGGAGAACCUCCACAGCCUUCAACAAGUAUGAAAAAUCAGCCACUGUUGUCAGCAAUAGCCAGUGUCUCCUGAAACCCCUGGACAGCACUGUUACAAAAGCUUGGAACAUGUUUGCCUCCCGGCCUGGUUUCUUGGACAAAGCUGAUGCUUUAAAGUUGAAAUGAGCUUAUAAAGUGGAGGAUUAUCAGCAGGCUGAGAGGUUUCCUGUAGUUGAAUUUCUAUGAGGUUGGGUCUCAGGUGAACUUUAAGUUGGAACAGCUCUUCCCUCUCUUGAGAUCUCCCUCUUGCAAGGGCAUAUGUGCAUCAAUAUGUGAAGCACGGAAUCUCAGAAGAGGACUUUCUGGAUUGUUUUACAACCAUAGAACAGGUCAUUGCAAGUUAUUCUAACCUUGGAUUAUAAAAGGAACCUAUCAUGCUCUGGGUGUAAAAUGUAAAGUAUAAUCAUAUGUAAAUUGUAUGAGAACUUGGGACAUUUGACUGCUACUGGUAACUAGGUGGAGGAUUCCAGUAUAGUUUCACUCACUUAUAACUCAUUCCUGCUUCAGUUCCCAACAAUUAAAAUCCUUGGACCUUUUGAAUUGAACUUUUUGUAUUUAAAUGUUGUACUCAACACAAAGAAUAUAUUGUAUUAUAAAGAA